rnacentral:rRNA from 1 species
UACAGAGGUGCCGAGCGUUAGGCGGAAUCACUGGGCUUAAAGCGUGUGUAGGCGGAUGGGUAAGUACCUUGUGAAAUCCCACGGCUCAACCGUGGAACUGCUCGGUAUACUGCUCGUCUUGAGCCAACUAGGGGCGACCGGAACAAACGGUGGAGCGGUGAAAUGCGUAGAUAUCGGGUGGAACGCCGAUGGUGAAAACAGGUCGCUGGGGUUGUGCUGACGCUGAGACACGAAAGCCAGGGGAGCGAACGGG